rnacentral:rRNA from 1 species
UACGGAGGGAGCUAGCGUUAUUCGGAAUUACUGGGCGUAAAGCGCACGUAGGCGGCUUUGUAAGUAAGAGGUGAAAGCCCAGAGCUCAACUCUGGAAUUGCCUUUUAGACUGCAUCGCUUGAAUCAUGGAGAGGUCAGUGGAAUUCCGAGUGUAGAGGUGAAAUUCGUAGAUAUUCGGAAGAACACCAGUGGUGAAGGCGGCUGACUGGACAUGUAUUGACGCUGAGGUGCGAAAGCGUGGGGAGCAAACAGG